GAAUAUUGGACAAUGGGCGCAAGCCUGAUCCAGCCACGCCGCGCGAGUGAUGAAGGCCCUAGGGUUGUAAAGCUUUUUCACCGGUGAAGAUAAUGACGGUAACCGGAGGAGAAGCCCCGGCUAACUGCGUGCCAGCAGCCGCGGUAAUACGAAGGGGGCUAGCGUUGUGCGGAUUUACUGGGCGUAAAGCGCACGUAUGCGGACUAUUAAGUCAGGGGUGAAAUCCCGGGGCUCACCCCCGGAACUGCCUUGGAUACUGGUAGUCUUGAGUUCGAGGGAGGUGAGUGGAAUUCCGAGUGUAGAGGUGAAAUUCGUAGAUAUACGAAGGAACACCAGUGGCGAAGGCGGCUCACUGGCUCGAUACUGACGCUGAGGUGCGAAAGCGUGGGGAGCAAACA
rnacentral:rRNA from 1 species